rnacentral:rRNA from 1 species
UACGUAGGGGGCUAGCGUUGUCCGGAUUUAUUGGGCGUAAAGAGCGUGUAGGCGGCCAGGUAGGUCUGCUGUGAAAACUCGAGGCUUAACCUCGAGAUGUCGGCGGAAACCAUCUGGCUAGAGUCCGGAAGGGGAGAGUGGAAUUCCUGGUGUAGCGGUGAAAUGCGCAGAUAUCAGGAAGAACACCCGUGGCGAAGGCGGCUCUCUGGGACGGUACUGACGCUGAGACGCGAAAGCGUGGGGAGCGAACAGGAUAGAAACCCU